GACGAACGCUGGCGGCGUGCUUAACACAUGCAAGUCGAACGGAAAGGCCCUGCUUUUGUGGUGUGCUCGAGUGGCGAACGGGUGAGUAACACGUGAGUAACCUGCCCUUGACUUUGGGAUAACUUCAGGAAACUGGGGCUAAUACCGGAUAGGAGCUCCUGCUGCAUGGUGGGGGUUGGAAAGUUUCGGCGGUUGGGGAUGGACUCGCGGCUUAUCAGCUUGUUGGUGGGGUAGUGGCUUACCAAGGCUUUGACGGGUAGCCGGCCUGAGAGGGUGACCGGCCACAGUGGGACUGAGAUACGGCCCAGACUCCUACGGGAGGCAGCAGUGGGGAAUAUUGCACAAUGGGCGGAAGCCUGAUGCAGCAACGCCGCGUGCGGGAUGACGGCCUUCGGGUUGUAAACCGCUUUCGCCUGUGACGAAGCGUGAGUGACGGUAAUGGGUAAAGAAGCACCGGCUAACUACGUG
rnacentral:rRNA from 1 species